GUGAGGGUCAAAUCCCAAAUCUAUUACCAUUGACAAACAACCUAUGUUAUCAUCUCAGCCUUUGGGUUCUUUUUAGUAACAGAAGAUGUAACUAGGAAGAAGGGAAAAUUUCCAUCAUUGCUAGGAUUUGGUGAGGAUAUAGAAUGUUUAUGACUCCAAGACAUCUUUGAGUUAAUGUUCAUUAAUCUCCUUAGAUACUGUAAGCAAUGUAACUCAAGAAACUGCCAUAGCAAAACUAGUAAUCAGUGUAUUGUCUAUUCAAGACUGCAUGUCUUAUGUAUUGUUAUCAAAUUCACAUUAAGUAAAAUGUACAUAGUUCAAGUGCACUAUGUUUUAGAUUCUCCUUCACUACAAUUUGAAAAGAUUCAUUGUUUAAAUCAUUCUUUUCCCACUUCAUUAUCUACAAGUUCAACAUGACUUUAUAACAGUUGCUGAGAUUAAAUCUCACAGUAAGCAACUCAAGAAAAGUUCAAAGUGAACUAGAAAAAAUAAAUCAAAAAUCAUCAGGAAAGAUAUAAAAACUGUUUUCUAAAUUAUGAGAAGUACUUCGAAGACUGUGAUAAGGUUAAGCACCACAAUCAAAUCCAUUAGAUUAGUGAAAUCAUUGGCUAUCGUCACUUAGAAUCAUAAAAUAACUUUCUUCCCUUUUAUUUAACAUUGUAGACAUCAACAGAAACAGCUCUUUUUAAACUGAUAACCAUAACUCAGAAUUAGAAAUUUCAAGCAGCCGCUCCAGUCCUCCUUGGAAACCUCGAGGAGUCGUCCCUUUCCCUUCCUUCCCACAGAGAUAACCGUCUUUCUAUUCCACACAGGCCCAGAAUCAACUGCAAGAGGGGCCAACACAUGCACAGCAGCGCGUCAGGGUUUGGCUUUGCUGGGGUGCUCCGGGCUCCGAUUGUUUCCAAAGUGGGGAUCUUCUCUUCCGGAGGGCGGAGGCGAAGCAAGCCGGGGGGUGGGCGGGGGGGUGGGGAAAAAGGCGCCCCGAAAGCUCGCUUGGGUCCUGAAAAUUAUUCUGAAGGCAAAGUACCUGCGCUCUCCCGGCCGAGGCAGGCUGUCAGCGCCGCGCGAGGGGAGGAGGCUGAGCAGGAGGCGGAGGAGGAGCGGGCGCGCUGGGAGGGGAGCGCCGGGUGGGGGAGGCCGGGGAGCGGCUCCGGAGAGAAGACGCCGCCAAGACGGCGAGGAGGCGGCUGGUCUCCGUCAGGGCGAGGCACUGCCCCACGCGCUCGGGCCGCCGGCUGCGGGCGAGGCGGGGCGGGGGGCGGGGGCGGCGAGCAUUCCGGCCGCUCCGGCACUCGCUUGUCUUCUCGCUCGCGCUCCCUUUUCCUCCACACAUGCAACACACCCCACGUCUCCAGCUGCAGCCACUUGGCCGCACGCACUCACCUGCAUUUCCUUAACGAGCCACUUGAUGGCUGCCAGCGGCGCGGGCCCCGCUCUGGCGGCCCGGAGCCGGGGCGGGGAGGACGCGGCGCGGGAUGCUCCGAGCGCCGGCUCGGGAGGCGGCGGCCGCGGCGGUGCGGGUGCGCGAGCUGGGGCGGGAGGCGGGGAAGUUGGGCGCAGCCCGACCGGCAACUGGCCCGGAGACCCGGGGGCCUUGGCUGGACUCCAGGACUCUGGGCUAGAACGGUGCGCGCGGGGAGCGGAGGACACAUCGGGCACAGGCUCUUCCCUUCCCGACCGCUAAAGCCACGGAGGACUUGGCCAGAUGGUUUGCUACCAAGAAAACUGCUCAGGAACCCUCACAACACAAUGAACAAACUGAUUUGA
ensembl:lncRNA